rnacentral:piRNA from 1 species
GAAUCGUCUUGUGCUACUGUUCUUC